UACGUAGGGAGCAAGCGUUGUCCGGAAUCAUUGGGCGUAAAGCGCGCGUAGGUGGCUUCGUAAGUCCGCUGUGAAAGUCAAAGGCUCAACCUUUAAAAGCCGGUGGAUACUGUGAAGCUAGAGUACGGAAGAGGCGAGUGGAAUUCCUGGUGUAGCGGUGGAAUGCGCAGAUAUCAGGAGGAACACCAAUAGCGAAGGCAGCUCGCUGGGACGGUACUGACGCUGGAGACGCGAAAGCGUGGGGAGCGAACAGG
rnacentral:rRNA from 1 species